AUACCUGAUGCUAUAACCUAAAGGUCCAAAUAUACCCUUUAGCUCCGCCCUGCCCUUCCCUUGAGGAUGAAAGAUGAAGUACUAUUUGUCCAAAACUAGUUUUUGUCAAUAUUGAGGGUAAAUUAUUAAGCCUCACUCGUGAUUUAUGAGUAAGUAGAAACCAUAAAAACGUAUACUAGAAGUGAGAAAAUGAUCUACAUUGGCCAAUUAUGAGAGGACAAGUAGUUUUAAUUCUUGAAAAUAUCUUUGUUGAACAUAAUACAAUGAAAAUGACAAAAUCCCAUUUUCUAGCUACUGCCAGGUAUUUGAUAAGGAUAUAUUAAUUAAAAUUAAAAGAAAGAAAUUACGUUCCUUAAGCUACAAAGACUUUUGAGUUGUCUUAUGCAAAGUAAGCUCAUAUUACCACACAAGGAGAAAGUGGUUAUUUGUCAAAGCUAUAAACCAAAAGCUCUCUGAAAACUUUAUUGGAGUAUUGUUAUAAAAUUAGCACUUCCUUUAGGUGCAAGGCUAGAACAAGUAGAAAAAUGGAUGCACCCCAAGUUCAACAGGUAUCUUAUGAGGAGGUAUCUUAUAUCGAUCAUGUGAAACGCCGACACGAGGAAAAAGGAUGCCUUUAUGCUUGUUUGUUCGCAAUGUGUUGCUGUUUCUGUUGCUACGAGACCUGUGAGUGCUGUUUGGACAUGCUCUGCUGCUGCUGUUGAUGACCCUCCUAGUCCUAGCCAUGGCAACCCUAUCUUAUUAUGUUAGCAACAUAAGCUAAAAGUGGAAUAUGUUCUCCUGUUUUGGCUCUAUAUUUUUGCCACUUCUUUAUUGUUA